GAUGAACGCUGGCGGCGUGCCUAAUACAUGCAAGUCGAGCGAACAGACGAGGAGCUUGCUCCUCUGACGUUAGCGGCGGACGGGUGAGUAACACGUGGAUAACCUACCUAUAAGACUGGGAUAACUUCGGGAAACCGGAGCUAAUACCGGAUAAUAUAUUGAACCGCAUGGUUCAAUAGUGAAGGACGGUUUUGCUGUCACUUAUAGAUGGAUCCGCGCCGCAUUAGCUAGUUGGUAAGGUAACGGCUUACCAGGGCAACGAUGCGUAGCCGACCUGAGAGGGUGAUCGGCCACACUGGAACUGAGACACGGUCCAGACUCCUACGGGAGGCAGCAGUAGGGAAUCUUCCGCAAUGGGCGAAAGCCUGACGGAGCAACGCCGCGUGAGUGAUGAAGGUCUUCGGAUCGUAAAACUCUGUUAUUAGGGAAGAACAAAUGUGUAAGUAACUAUGCACGUCUUGACGGUACCUAAUCAGAAAGCCACGGCUAACUACGUG
rnacentral:rRNA from 1 species